rnacentral:rRNA from 1 species
GAUGAACGCUGGCGGCGUGCCUAAUACAUGCAAGUCGAGCGAACAGACGAGGAGCUUGCUCCUCUGGCGUUAGCGGCGGACGGGUGAGUAACACGUGGAUAACCUACCUAUAAGACUGGGAUAACUUCGGGAAACCGGAGCUAAUACCGGAUAAUAUAUUGAACCGCAUGGUUCAAUAGUGAAAGACGGUUUUGCUGUCACUUAUAGAUGGAUCCGCGCCGCAUUAGCUAGUUGGUAAGGUAACGGCUUACCAAGGCAACGAUGCGUAGCCGACCUGAGAGGGUGAUCGGCCACACUGGAACUGAGACACGGUCCAGACUCCUACGGGAGGCAGCAGUAGGGAAUCUUCCGCAAUGGGCGAAAGCUUGACGGAGCAAAGCCGCGUGAGUGAUGAAGGUCUUCGGAUCGUAAAACUCUGUUAUUAGGGAAGAACAAAUGUGUAAGUAACUAUGCACGUCUUGACGGUACCUAAUCAGAAAGCCACGGCUAACUACGUG